rnacentral:lncRNA from 1 species
CCUCAAUCAGUUCAGGGGAAUUUAUAGUUGCAUUUCUUGUUAGGAAAUAUACUUGCCACCUUUGAAAUCCACCAGUGGACUGUUUUCGUACCUACAGGCUUCUGUUUCAGGAAAAAAGAAACUGUCUCCUGAUGCAGCUGGAAGAAGCCACCCGCCUCACGUCCUACCUCCAGUCCUAGUUACAAAGGUGGCCAAGGCAAGUGCGAGAGUGAAUAAUCACCUACAGGCAAAGCUGACCAAGAAAACUUCUCAGAAACCGCCCACCACGAGGAACCUUAGAAAAAUCGGAGGCUCAAAACUCUGUAGCCAGGGUUCCAAGGUGAAUGAAGAGCUGAAUCAGAACGGACCAGAGGAGGUCCCAGAGAGUGUGGAGAUGCCUGUCAUUCCAGCGGGACCGGUGGGCAGCCAGUGACUUGAAGGUGGCCAAGGCAAGUGCGAGAGUGAAUAAUCACCUACAGGCAAAGCUGACCAAGAAAACUUCUCAGAAACCACCCACCACGAGGAACCUUAGAAAAAUCGGAGGCUCAAAGCUCUGUAGCCAGGGUUCCAAGGU